GAUGAACGCUGGCGGCGUGCCUAAUACAUGCAAGUCGAGCGAACGGACGAGAAGCUUGCUUCUCUGAUGUUAGCGGCGGACGGGUGAGUAACACGUGGAUAACCUACCUAUAAGACUGGGAUAACUUCGGGAAACCGGAGCUAAUACCGGAUAAUAUUUUGAACCGCAUGGUUCAAAAGUGAAAGACGGUCCUGCUGUCACUUAUAGAUGGAUCCGCGCUGCAUUAGCUAGUUGGUAAGGUAACGGCUUACCAAGGCAACGAUGCAUAGCCGACCUGAGAGGGUGAUCGGCCACACUGGAACUGAGACACGGUCCAGACUCCUACGGGAGGCAGCAGUAGGGAAUCUUCCGCAAUGGGCGAAAGCCUGACGGAGCAACGCCGCGUGAGUGAUGAAGGUCUUCGGAUCGUAAAACUCUGUUAUUGGGGAAGAACAUAUGUGUAAGUAACUGUGCACAUCUUGACGGUACCUAAUCAGAAAGCCACGGCUAACUACGUGC
rnacentral:rRNA from 1 species